rnacentral:rRNA from 1 species
GACGAACGCUGGCGGCGUGCCUAAUACAUGCAAGUAGAACGCUGAAGGAGGAGCUUGCUUCUCUGGAUGAGUUGCGAACGGGUGAGUAACGCGUAGGUAACCUGCCUGGUAGCGGGGGAUAACUAUUGGAAACGAUAGCUAAUACCGCAUAAGAGUAGAUGUUGCAUGACAUUUGCUUAAAAGGUGCAAUUGCAUCACUACCAGAUGGACCUGCGUUGUAUUAGCUAGUUGGUGGGGUAACGGCUUACCAAGGCGACGAUACAUAGCCGACCUGAGAGGGUGAUCGGCCACACUGGGACUGAGACACGGCCCAGACUCCUACGGGAGGCAGCAGUAGGGAAUCUUCGGCAAUGGACGGAAGUCCGACCGAGCAACGCCGCGUGAGUGAAGAAGGUUUUCGGAUCGUAAAGCUCUGUUGUAAGAGAAGAACGAGUGUGAGAGUGGAAAGUUCACACUGUGACGGUAUCUUACCAGAAAGGGACGGCUAACUACGUG